AGAGGGGGGAGAGAGAAAGAGAGAGACAGAGAGAGAGGAUUACCGUCCCUUAAACUGCGCUCGCCUCACCCCAUCCGCAUCACACGCGCUCACCUGCGCGGGGACUUUCGUCAAGCGCAACUUUUGCUUUCUGUGGGGGAUUUCGAGCCUCUCGUUGCCCACACCCAGGUGAUAUGGAUUAACUGCACUUCUUCGAGGUGCGGCGGGGUUUUUUGCGGCGCUUUUCGAAGUUGUUCCACGUACAGGACGGUCGGGACGGCCCGCCCUGCGCUCAGGAGGGGAUUAGAGAGCGGAAACCCGCUACUCGGUAAAUGGAGGUGCAGGACAGGAGCCGCUCCCCGUCUCGCAGGACCAGCCGAGUAGAGCAGGUAGUGGGACGAUGGCUGAGACGGUCCAGAGACUUGGGCAGCAGAUCUCACUCUUUGAGCAGGGAUCGGGCUGCAGCAGAAGGGAAGACAGCAGAGUCCAGUAGCUCUGACC
ensembl:lncRNA